rnacentral:rRNA from 1 species
GACGAACGCUGGCGGCGUGCUUAACACAUGCAAGUCGAACGGAAAGGCCCUGCUUUUGUGGGGUGCUCGAGUGGCGAACGGGUGAGUAACACGUGAGUAACCUGCCCUUGACUUUGGGAUAACUUCAGGAAACUGGGGCUAAUACCGGAUAGGAGCUCCUGCUGCAUGGUGGGGGUUGGAAAGUUUCGGCGGUUGGGGAUGGACUCGCGGCUAAUCAGCUUGUUGGUGGGGUAGUGGCUUACCAAGGCUUUGACGGGUAGCCGGCCUGAGAGGGUGACCGGCCACAUUGGGACUGAGAUACGGCGCAGACGCCUACGGGAGGCAGCAGUGGGGAAUAUUGCACAAUGGGCGGAAGCCUGAUGCAGCAACGCCGCGUGCGGGAUGACGGCCUUCGGGUUGUAAACCGCUUUCGCCUGUGACGAAGCGUGAGUGACGGUAAUGGGUAAAGAAGCACCGGCUAACUACGUG